UACAAUAAAUGAUUUAAUUUCAGUUAUAUGUUACGUGUAAAACGUCCUCUGCCCCUCUCUCUCUCUCUCUCUCUCUCUCUCUCUCUCUCUUCCUCUUUUUCUCGCGCGCCUUACAUUUCAACGACAAAUUCUUUAGUAAACGUGAAGACGAUUUUUCCUUAGCGAAAACGUCGGGGCACAAGCAAUUUCUGAGUUAGGAGCGAUUGAAGCGAGAAGCUUUUCUGCAAACACUUUCCUUCUUUAAGUUUCAACAAGCCAAUUCUGUAACUAAUUUCUCAGAUGAAAUCUAUUUUGGUAGAACUUCAAUUUGCCAUUUAUUUGUGAGAUAUGCGAAGUUAAAGAUCGAACAAUUAAGCAAUAAAUUCUAUUUUAUUUUCAUGGAUAUUUUGCCAUCAAAUAUCGAUUAAAAAGUUUGUCGUGAAAAAAACCAUGCGAGGGAAAUAAGACAUUAUAUGUUAUUAUUGUCGCAUCUCGAUAAGUAAACUGAAUAUCUAAUUUCUAAUAAAUUACAUAACGUAUUCACCUAAUUAGAAUUAAUUCGCUACAUCACUAGACUUUCACAAGGCAGUAAACUGCAUCGUACCGUCGCUAUUAUAUCUUUUGAAACACAAUUACUCUCCACGAAUUACUAGAUUAUCUGUCUGAUUUAAUUAAUUUCUAUGAUUCACGAUUCGAUGAACAUACCUACUCGAUGGACAUUUAUAAAAAAAGAUUCGUAACAAUUUAUCAAAGAAUAAUUUACGCGAGUUAAUUAUUAUGUGUGUGAUACGAGAAUUGCAACAGAAGGAUAGAAGAACAAUUAAAAUGAUGGUUUUAUUCCAAUAAUUAAUUCGCGAUAAUCGUUUCUUUAGUAAUUAAAUUGGAAUGUAAUUUGUAAUAUUUAAAUGCCGAGGUUUAAAUACUCAUAUUAUUUAUUAUAUUUGAGACUACACGUGUCCCUUGACAUUUACAAAUAAACUCUAUAUACAAAUUAACACACAAUUAUUUUAAGUUUUCGAAAUACCCCCUCGUCCGAUAUUAAUUGUUAAGCGAGAGUCAAAGAACGAAACUACGGAGCAGCGUAAAAUGCGUUACGACAGUCCGUGCGUAGAAGACACUCGAAAUAACCGAAUAUUACUUUAUUACAGCGCGAGUUAUCGAACGUAGUCAGGGUCGCGUACGCACGGUUGUGUACGCGCCGCAAGGUCACCGCGCUUCGCAUUCGCGCGGCGAGCCUCGAACCGGACGGCCGCUCCGUGCGUCGCGUCAUUACCGCCUGACUUGCACCGCCCCCCGCUCCGUGGACAUGGCCCCGUGAACAUGGAUCGACCGAUGCUCGCGAUCUGCGUCUCCAGGACGAAGGUAACGCGGGUAUACUAUGUCGCGGGCGUGCGACUCCCGUCGUUCGAGGAAACGUCGAAGCGACGACGACCGAGAGCCACGAGUUACGUCGUCCCGUGCUGGAAAUCCGAGCCGGAGAUUAUUGAAUCAUGAGUGACGGCAUUUAGCGCGAGCCUCCGUACGUUUCGCUCGUACGUUUCGGACUGAAAGCUGAGAUUUCGGCGAAAGUAGAUUCAUCGGGUCGUCGAGCAAGACGAGCUGAGCGAAACGAAGAAACGUGAUGUGGUACGUCGACCGUCCCUUGGUAAUGCGUACGUUCGAUUCGGGACCUGCAAGUUCCAAGUAUCUCGCGCGUAUUUGACGCAUCUUGGUUAGGUGUGAAGUGGCUCGCGUUUCCGCGCGCGGCAUCGCUGUGAAGUUAUCACCGUCGUCAUAUUGUCCGGCUAGCGAUGGAAGGACGCGGGCACGCGACGGAUCGACUCCGAGCUGUGCGACGUCGUGACGCGUCUACGUGGCGAGUGCGAUCGCGAACAGACACCCGCGUGUCCUCGGUUGUCGCGCACGAACGUGAUCUCUGAGAAGGCGCGAGGAGAGCCCGGGAGUCGGACGGGAAUUCUUUGCGACAGAGCGACACGGAUCGCGCGGGUAUUCGCUCUUGGCUCGCGUUCUACGCGUGCCAUCGCGUCGCGAUGCACGAGUCGGCCUGAAACACACGCGUCCCGUUUAUCCAUUCCAGGCGCGGCAAUUUUCCGAAUUGAAGGCAGGACGCAACAGGUGCAGGCAGCGUCGCUGGCCGCGCGCGGAUUUCCGGACGCUCUCCCGUCUCUCUCGUCCCGCCCCCCGCGCCAUUACAACUCGCCGAUACGUUUCGCGCGAAUUCGUGGAGUGUGUGAUAUCGCGGGCGACAUCGGCGAGGUGCUUUCUUCCGCGUUGUUGUUCCGUCGUGGCGAUGUGAAGGGAGGCGACCGGCGGUGAAAGUGCCGCGUAAAAAGAAAGGAAUUGUCAAGUUUCCUGAUGUUCGAAUUCGCGUGAAGAAAAAAAUUAUGCAAUAAUUCAUAUUUCGCAUCUCGAGUAUAAUCUCGGUUUCGGGAGUCAGCCGUGCAAAAUAUCGCGUUCGUAUUACGCUGGAGAUUAACUCAAACGGGAUUUGUAAUUCUAGUGUGUCAAGAUUCUCGAGUGAGUGUGUAACUGAUUAUCCGAGAACGAGAUUCAAAGAAUUCUGAGAGGAUGAGAAGCAGAAGGCGGACGAGGAGAAGGACCGGGAUCGACAUCGUACGACGGUGGAGCAACCUUGAGGUUUACGUAGCUACAAUGCAGUUACAACUCCACUGUUGCGCAUCGUACUUACGGUUGCUGCAAAUUUAUGACAAGGUGGCAAAAGUUUCGCAAACGACGCGGCGUGAUCCACGAUGCUGUCGCGCGUCGGCGUGCUUUCGGCGAGGGAUACGGCUUGGAAACUUGGUGCGAGAAAUUUGAUCUCAUCUCGCAACAUCGAUUCCAUCGAUCGCGUGGCGAUCGCGACCGGUUAGCCAAUGGAUACUAAAAGCACGACCGGUGAAGGAAGAGAGAAGGAAUGAGAGAGAGGGAGAGAGAGAGAGAGCUCGCCGGAGAAGUCAUUGGCAGCCUGAAUCGUCUUCGGCUCUCGAAGACUUUAGACUCGCUCCGUUAGAUAAUGCGGCCGCCGUCGUAUCGGCCAGACUACCCGGCCAAGUUCUUGUUCCUUCCGUAUAUACUCCGGCGCCGGCGAAAUUCCCAAAAUUACCGGCAUUACUGCGGACAAAGGCCGGAAAUCCCGAGUUCCGAUCCUGCAACGCGUAAGGACCGUCGCCCACACCGAGCACCGGCGGCGUCUCUUCAUUAAUUGUAUUAAUUGGUCCACCAAACCGCGAUAAAAAGUACUCUUAUAAUUCAACGUCAACAUUUAUGGCAAGGGAACAAAGGACGCGCUGGCUCGAGCUUCAACCGGAAAUCAAAUUACUGCUGGCUAAUUAGCGUCGGUGAAACUGGAACGUAUAGCGGAUAAUAAAACCAAGAUUGGACUCGCCAGGCAUGACGGGAGCGAUCGGCCAAACCCGGUAGAUAUGACUACACUCCAGUGGAUGUAUAAAAUGUUCAGGAGUCGCGGCAGCCAAUAGCAGCUCGCGUCUCGUAAUUAAUCACAGUGUCGUAACGGAACUCCAGUAUCGAAAAUCGUUUCGAGUCGUCCGAGCUACGAGUCAUGAAAUAUUUAAACCUCAAUGCUGAGCGACCACCGUGGAUAAUCGUAAUGCUAUUUUCAGCACGCCUGCCUGUAUCGCGGUAGCGGAAUAGUGUCGGGAUUGAUGUGUCGCGAAAUGAUGAGAAAUUUGCCGCGAAUUACCUAAAAGUCGUCUCAAUAAUAAACCGCCGGACCUUCUCGUAUGCACCGUCACGCGCGCGUAUACAUGCACUACUAGUGGUACACUAUAUGCCGCCACCGGCGUACGGCGGCGAAAUGGUAGUCUCUCAAGCCUGUAUCCAUCGCCAUUAAAUUAAUAACCGUGCUAUCCGCGUGUACCGAACUCCUCCGAAAUAUCGCCCGACGCCCUCCGGGCCCCGGUUCAUCCGCGCCCAGCGCGCCUUCUCCCGCGGCCCAUAUACAAUCCGCCAUGUAUCCCGCAUAUAUGGAUUUCGCGUGCACGCGCACGCACAGCCGAAUACGUGCGGGCGACGAGCGGAAUUCGGAAUGUGCGAGGGAUUGCGCGAAGAGAGGGAGAUAGAGAGAGAGAGAGAGAGAGAGAGAGAGAGAGAGAGAGAGAUAGAAAGAGAGAAGGACACAGAGAGCAAGAGAGUCGCGUGUCUCUCAUCAAAGGGAGAAUCACAAUGCCAGAGCGAGCCCGUAUCGUCAGACCGGCCAACACGAACGAUAACAAUCAGUGCGCUAAAAUGCAUCGGAAUUGAAUCUGGGGCGAUUCAUUUUCACACCGGGCCGGUCCAGGCCGAUCAACUCGUUCAGCGCCGUGAUGCUUUUUCGAUCAAAGAUCUGCUCUUCCAAGGAAUACCGAGUAAAACAGGUUACUACCAGCUGUAUCAGUCGCGCGGGGCGGUUUUCAUUUUUUUCAAGAAUUCUGAAAUAUUCCUUAAUAUUUGUACGGAAAUAAAAUAAAAUCGUUGAAUCGGCGAUUAAAAUCUGCGCAAGUUGAUUGUUUGAAGUGAGAACUUGAGAAAAGACACUUUUCCUGCAAAUUCGAGCUCUUCUCUUCUUAAUUAGUUCGCUAAUUCGAUCGAACGGCAGGUUGAUUAUCGACAGCUCGAUUUCGUACUAUUUAUUUCGCGGCUUCGUCAAUCUCCAUGCAUUAAUUAUUUCGAGAAUCAUCACCUGUCGCCGCGUGCGAGAAUGUCCAUCGCGCCGGUAGAGAUAUUUCCGUGCGUCAGCAUGAUGCGAAGCUUAUGUCGGUUCCAAUGCGUGGCAUUGAUAGGCCAGGCCAUUUUAAUUUCGAUCGCGCCGUAUCGACCAAUACGCGUCGCGGCAUAAUUCCGCAUGUCGUAAAAGUCCAAACGGGAUUCGAUCCGCCGUUAUUCACGACGAAGUGAUUUCGUCCUAGCUAACUCGCAACACGAACUUCCACUGUAAUUAAAUAUCCGCGUGUCCUUUGACUGCUUCAUUAGCGCAUUACUUGUUAUUCGUCGCGCUAGCGAUUGCACCUCGUAAAAGAGGCAAAUAGUAACCAGUCGGGGAAUAUAUCGACGGCAAAUCUCGUUGCCGACAUCGAGGUACAAUCGAAGAGUAUAAAAUUGAAUAGCGUGAUUUAAAAACGCGUCCGUCCAUUUGUGUGCGAAUUAAACAAAUUUUCACGUAAUUCGAAACGAAAUGUUUAACGUAUGAAGGAUAAAAUGAAAAGUAUAACGUUUCUAAUAACAAACAUUACGAAAAACAUAUUGAAUAAUGUAGUUUCGAAAAACGGCUAAUAAAAAUACGUGUGGAAGAGACAUUCUAACACACACACACACACACACACAAAAAUGUAUUAAUAUAUAACUAAUUUCGAAGAAUAAAGGCGAGAAUAUCGGUCGCAUAUUCCUCACUUAAUCUUUCAGAAUUUAAGCGCUAAUUUAAACUCUUGUCGAUAGGUCACUCGACCGCGCUGUAAGCCUUUGCUGAUGAACUACAUACCGUGUGC
rnacentral:lncRNA from 1 species